CUGCAGCCAAUUAAGCCACCCAUGCUCUCUUCCUCCUGGGGGCCCAGUGUGCAGUGACCACAAACAGCAGCCUCCUUGGUAGCGUCUGCAGCCCAGGGCCUGUACAGGUUGCCCUGAGUGACCCUGGAGACAGCC
ensembl:snoRNA SNORA70 Small nucleolar RNA SNORA70